CGCUGGCGGGGCUCCGACACGUGACCUACGGUCUCCGUACACACUCUGCAGCGCCUUGCUCUUGAUGGGAGUCGGUGAGCGGUACUGACGCAGUUUGUCGAAGAUGGAUACAGAACACUGGACAGAUCUAAUUUCUCGUUGCACUUUAUGAGUCCAUUUUAUUUUCAAAAUAAAAAAAAUUCUUAAACCUC